rnacentral:sRNA from 1 species
GGCUGUGAGGGUGAUCUGGCUGCAACGGGUCACCCCACUGAUCACCAGGGUUGACUUGGCUGAUCUGGCUGGCUAGGUGGUGUUCCCUCCCUCCCUCAUCUCUCCAUGUGUUUCUCUCCUGAAUCUACACACCCACUUGAGGAGGGUGACCAGCCCUGCUCGAGAAGGGCCAUUUCCUCAGUCCAGGGGAGAUGAGUAGCUGCACUGCCCUGCUAGAACCUCCAAACAAACUCUCAAGAAGGUGUAGCUGUCUGUCCACUGCCAGCUGGUGCU